CGGGGCGUGGUGUAACGGUAGCACGAGCGCUUUGGGAGCGUUUAGCCCGAGUUCGAUUCUCGGCGCCCCGA
rnacentral:tRNA from 1 species